rnacentral:rRNA from 1 species
CUACGGGGGGCACCAGUGGGGAAUCUUAGACAAUGGGGGAAACCCUGAUCUAGCCAUGCCGCGUGAGCGAUGAAGGCCUUAGGGUUGUAAAGCUCUUUCAGCUGGGAAGAUAAUGACGGUACCAGCAGAAGAAGCCCCGGCUAACUCCGUGCCAGCAGCCGCGGUAAUACGGAGGGGGCUAGCGUUGUUCGGAAUUACUGGGCGUAAAGCGCGCGUAGGCGGACUUUUAAGUCGGGGGUGAAAUCCCGGGGCUCAACCCCGGAACUGCCUUCGAUACUGGGAGUCUGGAGUUCGAGAGAGGUGAGUGGAAUUCCGAGUGUAGAGGUGAAAUUCGUAGAUAUUCGGAGGAACACCAGUGGCGAAGGCGGCUCACUGGCUCGAUACUGACGCUGAGGUGCGAAAGCGUGGGGAGCAAACAGGAUUAGAUACCCCUGUAGUC